CUUGUAGGCGGUUUGUCGCGUCUGCUGUGAAAUUUCGGGGCUCAACCCCGAACUUGCAGUGGGUACGGGGCAGACUAGAGUGUGGUAGGGGAGACUGGAAUUCCUGGUGUAGCGGUGAAAUGCGCAGAUAUCAGGAGGAACACCGAUGGCGAAGGCAGGUCUCUGGGCCACUACUGACGCUGAGAAGCGAAAGCAUGGGGAGCGAACA
rnacentral:rRNA from 1 species